AACGAACGCUGGCGGCAGGCCUAACACAUGCAAGUCGAGCGCCCCGCAAGGGGAGCGGCGGACGGGUGAGUAACGCGUGGGAAUAUGCCCUUUGCUACGGAAUAGUCUCGGGAAACUGGGGGUAAUACCGUAUACGCCCUUUGGGGGAAAGAUUUAUCGGCGAAGGAUUAGCCCGCGUUGGAUUAGGUAGUUGGUGGGGUAAUGGCCUACCAAGCCGACGGUCCAUAGCUGGUUUGAGAGGAUGAUCAGCCACACUGGGACUGAGACACGGCCCAGACUCCUACGGGAGGCAGCAGUGGGGAAUCUUAGACAAUGGGGGCAACCCUGAUCUAGCCAUGCCGCGUGAGUGAUGAAGGCCUUAGGGUUGUAAAGCUCUUUCAGCUGGGAAGAUAAUGACGGUACCAGCAGAAGAAGCCCCGGCUAACUCCGUG
rnacentral:rRNA from 1 species